GAAACCCUCUGGCAAUUUCAUUCUGUGCUUGGUACUAAAUUCAUGGUUCCAAUUAUUGGAGGGAAGGAACUGGAUUUGUAUCUUCUGUACAUGGAAGUUACCGGGAGAGGUGGUUUUCAGAAGGUGGUUAGAGAAAAGAAAUGGAGGGAUGUGGGUGGAGUUUUCAUGUUCUCUCCCACCACUACAAGCGCUUCUUUUGUGUUGAGAAAGCAUUACAUGAGCCUCCUCUAAUACUAUGAACAGAUCUACUUCUUUAAGCUAUAGGGUCC